CAAUCCCUAACUCUAAAUAUAUUUAUACUAUUCCAACCCUACAUUCACUCACACCUCACUCACCGCUGCCUAUAUUCAAACUCAUCACCAUAUCAGAUCUAACUAUGAUAGUGAAACCACCAAAGAUUUUUACGAUUUGUUCCGGUGAAAUGCUCAUUGUUGAUGAUCUUGCUACAACCGUGAUUUCUUUGAUUAGCCAACACAAUAUACCAGAUGGAGGAACUUGUGCUCCAGCAGACGGGGCAGAUCACCGGUGGGAUUAGAGUUUGUUGUGGAACUGGUGGAUGUGGUGGAGUUAGGGCUAAUUGUUGUAUGUCUAGAGUGUUGUUGUGAUUGAAAUUGAUCCCUAACUUCUCUAGAUCAAUGAAAUUAGUUGGGUUCGUAGAGUCUGAGUUAUUUUCUUGGAUAACAUUAAAAUCGUUAAAGUAAGAUGGUGUAGUGUUUUGAGUGGAAAUAAUGUUUCUGGUGGUCAUGAUGAUGUAGGAAUAAUAUCUUCAUCAAUGUCUCGGUGCCUAAAGGUCCUUCAACAACGCAUCAACUAUGUUUGUGUUUGUGGCAGGGGUAUACUCCUUAGAUGCAAGUGUACUAUUUUAUAUUUGUAUUGAGGAGUUUGUAAUUUAAAAUAGGCUUAAAUGCAGUUUUACCCCCCUAU